rnacentral:rRNA from 1 species
UACGUAGGGCGCAAGCGUUGUCCGGAAUUAUUGGGCGUAAAGAGCUCGUAGGCGGUCUGUUACGUCCGCUGUGAAAACCCAGGGCUUAACCCUGGGCUUGCAGUGGAUACGGGUAGACUAGAGGCAGGUAGGGGAGAAUGGAAUUCCCGGUGUAGCGGUGAAAUGCGCAGAUAUCGGGAGGAAUACCGGUGGCGAAGGCGGUUCUCUGGGCCUGACCUGACGCUGAGGAGCGAAAGCGUGGGGAGCGAACAGG